AGAAUUGUAGGGGUUGGAAGGGACCUCCAGAGUUCAUCGCGUCCAACCCCCCUGCCAAAGCAGGUUCCCUACAGCAGGUCGCACAGGUAGGCAUCCAGGCAGGUCUUGAACAUCUCCAGAGAAGGAGACUCCACCACCUCCCUGGGCAGCAUUGUGAUGCUUGAUGACUUCUGUGCAGAUCUCAUCACCGUUUCCUGUUAUUUUGCAAAGAUGUUCUUCUAACUGAGAAGUGCUAUACAGUCUCUUCUAGACGAGAUGUCAGACUAGAAUGGACAGUUUCUUAGCAUCUGAAUUGGAGCCCAGUACACUCCUUCAGCCAGAGAUCAUGUAGCAGUGAACUGACAUUCCCUCCAGAUUAUUUCCCCAAGAGAUUGCUGGCAGACAGGCUGCUCUUUGCCCGGCCUGAAGUACUGCAAGCUUUGUUUUCCCAAUAUUCAAGUGAUAAUGGUGCCAAACCAGAGCAGCAAAAGCAGACUGUGAAACUCAGUGAUGCUACUGCCAUCUCCAGCUGUCCUCCUCUCAUGCUCCCCCACAGGCAGCUUGCUUGGAUAGUGGACUCUAGGGAACACAUGUACUGCUGCCGGCGUCUCUCCACACCCACUCUGUGUGAUGACUACAGAAUCAUUUUAAUCAAGAAUGAAGACUACAUAAUUCAAGCAACAGGGUCAAAAGUCUGAUGUCUACAGGGAAAGUGCAUUGGUUUAACUUCAGUCAGAUUUUAAAUCUUGGUUUUAAGGCUUGGCUAAAUAAUUAGGUCAAACCACUGCAACAUUCCCACGUAACUAAGGCCUUAAAAAAGAAUUUUAAAGAUAUAUAUCUCAGUUAAAUACUUUAGCUACAGUCUGAAACGUAUUGAAGUCAAUGAGACAGGAAAGCAAGCUGCCAACAAGAUACACUCUGAAGUGUCUUUCUGAAUCAGUGGCUUCAUUCUGCUCUAAGGAACACACCUCCAUUUCAGCAAAAGUCAUCUUAGGAUCAUGCAACAGCCUAGCUUAAGACAGACCAAAACCACAGAGAUGUCUGCAUAAAUAUUCAGAUAACUGCCAUAUGCCGUGUGAUCGUGGCUGCUCCACUAUUCCAAAGCAUUCUAACUAGUACAAUGCCAUGAGCUGUUAUCAAGCUUUCCAGCAGGAUAGAUGGGCGUGUAAGACAAUGCCAGCUGUUCCUGCAUGUUUAGACACUGUAUGAUCUCCAUGUGCUUUGCUGGGUUUGUUGUUGCUUGCCUGGACUGAGGGAGCUAUCUCCAAGCCUUAAUUCCCUCACCUACAAACAGUCUUCUUGUAACUGGGAACUCAUGAUGUGAAUGAAGUCAGCAACAGCAUUUCGUAUGCAGCUUUUCCUGAGCAGAUUAUACUGACUGUGAAGAAAUCAAACUCUUCUAUCUUGCAUAAAAUUAUUGAUUGAUGCAUUUUCUUAGAUCUCUGCCAGUCCACGAAGCCUACAAGAGGACAGUGCUACAAAGGCUGCAGGAGAGUGCUGCAGGAAGCUGGAGGGAACUGAUUCUCAGCUAUACAUUCCAUUACAAAGAGACCGUGAUGAAACACGAGAGGACUGCGGACUGUUCCAGCUGAGAAUAAAGAAAUAAAAAACAGUGCCAUCUUGUGGCCUACAGUAUUCUGAGCAUUGCCAAGAGGAAAGAGGAAAAUCUUUUACACUAAGAAAAAAAUACAGAUAACUUCUGGUCAAACAGUAUUUGUUCACUGACACUAAAAAAAAUACCCGUUCAUAACAUCACUGGAGGAAUUCAUGUUAGACUGUGACCAAAGCAGAGAAAACCAUAACACAAGAACAUUAAUGGCAAGACAAAGGACCUGAACAAUACCACACUUUGGCCAGAGUACAGAAAUCAAAGCUCUACAAAAUGUACUGGGAGCAACAGGCAAGUUGAUAUCCUUUCCAUGAGCAAUAGGUGGCUUAGAUGAGAAACGGUAUUGCACACGUAUGAUUAGAUUGCCAAACAAGAUGACAGAAUGUUUUCUUCGGCAUUACAUGGCUAAAAUGACUUUAUCAUUUUGUACUAUACUGCCUUAAGCAAUAACCUGAGCAUGAGAUCUGUGCAGAUAUAUCUAGGCUUAAAGUCUAGAAAUCCUAGCUGAAUCAAAAAGUCUUCACGACUAUUUAUCUCCAGAGUUUAUGUUCUGUAUCAUUUUACUAGUGAUUCCUCUUUCCCAGCUGUGUGUCUUCUGCCUUAUCCAGACAGAACUAGAUCUAGUUACCCCUUUCUGGAAACCUCUGUAAUGUAUUCUUUGUGAUAUCCAAAUUAUAUCAUUGGUGACAUUAAUGGCAAAUGGGACCCAUUAGAAGGCGUCACAAGUGAGUUGUCAGAUGUUGAGGCCAUGACUUCUCCCUAUCUCUCCAGAUGACAGUGAGUAAAUAUUUUGAGGUAAGGGAUUUAGAUAGAAGUCUUUGAUCUUCUUGUGUGCGCUGCAGAAGCUUCUGAACUCAAACAGAGAUGGGCAGACAUCAAUCAUGCAAACAGACAGCUGUCACAAGAAGCAAUGCCACUUAUAAUUGGAAGUACAAUCCUUCUUCGAGUGCUGAAAUCUGGCUAAGAAGAUGAAAAUGUUCUUUCUGUCUUCUGCUGAGCUUCAAGGGAAAGGGAAGAGGGAAUUCAACUUGCUGGCAUCAUCCCCAGGCAAUUUUAUUGACUGUGUGGCUGUCAAAGGGGACUGACCGAAAGAUCAGAGAUGACCUGAUUGACCGGAUGGAAGAAUGAUCUUAGGAACUGGACUUCGGAUCUGAGCUCUCUCUUCUACAUCUGACAGAAGAAGCCAAAAAUCUUUCUACUGUCACCUCUCAGCUGUAGCUCACAGUAGGCAGUACAAUUCAGUCCCGUAGGUCUCUGGGCAUAAUGCCCCUUGGUGAAACUGGCCGUUCCAUACCUGGCACUGCCCUGAUCUCCCUAGAUCUCAAGUUAAAGUCAGAAGCACAGAGAGUUCCCUGAUACUCCAAGUGCAAAUAUCUACUGACGUUCUAGAAACUGUGUGUUUUAACCUGCUUGAUAUCAUAGCAAUGAAUUGUUCAUAACAAGUAUUGCUUUCUGCUAGCAUUAGACCUAGGAUUAAAGUUGAAUUAAUUCUUUUUUUGAACUCAGUAUGAACUUCAGACCCAAGAUGAAAUAUCUUAUUGUGUCUGUAUGAAGAUAUGAGGAAUGCAAAGAAACUCAAGGCAAGUGAAGUAAAUUUUGAGCUAUUGAGGUAAAUAGAAAAGCUGCUGUAACUACACUAGAGUCAGAAUUCCCUAGCAUGUGACAAAGUAGUAUGUUUUAAUAUUUGUGCUAAACAAUGACAACUGACAUAUCAGGUUAUCUUUAUGAGAAAGCAGCGUGGCUGAGAAGGCCAUUGAAAUGAAAUCAAGGCUUGAAAUAAUCACUGAAUAACGUUCUGUUGGAAGAUGAAAGUACUGUCACAACUAAGAAAAAAAUACUAACAAUUAGUAAUUUUACAAAGUGUCACAUUACUCAGAAUUUAUUAACUCAGAGCAAUUAAGACAAUAAAUCUGUCACUGCCUCAUGCAUUUGUGGUGGAGUUCCUUAUAAGAAGUCUCUUCUUUUUUAAAUCGAUGAACUUUGUUCAGUGAUUCCUGGCACUAGGUGCAUCAUUACAAAUAUUUCUAAAAUGAGGAAGAUCCUUGUCUAGAUGAGAGCUGAAAGCAAAUAGCUGAAACAAGAAAGCAGUUGCAACAUCUCAAUACAGCAUUCUUAUUAUGGCAAUUUAUAUUAAAAUGUCACUUAGAGAACCACAAAGGCCUCAUCAUAUUCCCAAACAGAGAACCACAAAGGCCUCCUCAUAUUCCCAAACUGUACCCUGUACCUGUCUGUCUGCCUUGCCUUCAUCUGCAUCAAAUAAUGAGUGAUGUUUCACUUGAAAAUCUUUAGAACAAUGAAUCAAAACACCUGUAAUAGAAUACAGAAAUAAAGUAUUUCCCACAAGUUAUGAGAAGUUUUUGCAAGGGAGAAAUUGGCUAAGGAGUCUUUUUCUAGCUUUAACUGCUAGAAUGACUUUGGAAAGUAGGACUGUGUGCUGAGUGGUAGGUACAUAUUUUUGCCUACCAUAGGCAAAUUGAAGAGAUACAGUAUUUAUCAUUUUAUUGACACGUUGACAAAUAACAAAGUCUACAAAGUUUUCUUUCUCCUGAAGACUUUAUACUACAGCCCAAUCAUUUAUGUGUGCCAAUAUACUUUACAACUCUACUGUGAAGUUGGCUGUGAAAAGAGUAUCAAAGUAUUGGGGUUAGUGCAAAGCGGUGAUUUAAAACAAGAGAGAGAGAAUGGAGCUUUCAAAUCUUCUUCAGAUUACAUCCAUUAAAUCUGAUUGCAAAGAAGAGGUUCAAAGAAAACAAUUUUAAUCAGACUACUGGGGCUGAGAACACCUUUCUUAAAAAAAAAAGAAUACAUGGAGUCUUAAUUUUCUUCAAAGGAAGGGUCAAUUAAAAUAAAUACUUUUAAUUCUUUACAGCAACCUUUUUCUGUUGGAUUAACUUCAAUUAAUCCUUCAUCUUCUAAGUUGCAUUGGCACAAAAAUCUAAUGUCUUUAUUUUCAGAGGAACAUUGCAAAACUCUAUCAUGCGUCCUUGUGCAAAGAACUUGAAGGAUCUCAUACACACAGAGUGAGAGCAUCAAAACCAACUUUCAGGAAUUACAUAGUUUUUUUUUUACAAGUAUGGUCACUCCUCGGAAUUUUCCAGAGUUACUUUCUUUGUGAUUCUCUCUGAGCCUGGCUCUAUCAGUCCAAUAAUAAUAUCAGUUUACUCAUAGCAGUGAACAAAACACAUAAUCCACUGCUUCUUUGGAAAAUGAACUCUGGAUGUACAUCACUACUGAACCUCUGUUACGUAUAAAGCAGGCUUUAUAAAUCCCAGUGAUUAUAUUUCACCCACCACCUUUCUUAAAAUAAAGAGUACAAUUUUGAACAGUCGGUUCAGAGAGAAACAACAGGGUGAGGAGAGCUAUCUUCCUUCUUCUUCAAUGAGAAUGUUUGCUUUAGUUCAGACUCAGCAGGCCAAAAGACAAGAAAGGUGUUUCUGCCUAGGGGGGAGGCCAACAACAAGAAGUGAGAUGAUAUAGCAAUAUGCUUCUGCAGCAGCACAAAGCCUCAUGGUUGAGUGGGAUCUUGCAGGGAAACUUGUAGAAAGUGCACCCAACUCAUUAAACCUGAGAGCAGGGAGGUCUGUUUCUUGUGUUGCACUGGUUGUUACAACAGCUGGCUAAAUUCAACUGCAGUUGUAGUGGACAGCAGCAGUUGGGGGCCUAGCUUGUUGUCUGGUCAUGAGGGACCCCUACUAUAAGCUGUCAUCACUCAUCUAAUGAGCCUGAAACAAGAACAAAGACUCCUUGGCCAUACUUGCUAUCUUUAGAAGAGAUGGCAUGAACCCACAACUACUGUGUGUGGCAAGACCAGUUGUAGCUGAGCUCUGAGUACUGAUGACAGAGGGUCGGGAUCAAUUUGCAUGCUUAAUCCCAGGCUCAAGUGGGCAGGCACUGUGGCUUCUCAGUGCACAGGCACAUGUGCACUUCUUCUGCUUUAAGCUUUAAAAGUACUUGGAACUCUCUGAAGCCCUGGUAUCCAAACCAGAUUAAAGCAUCCAGCAGCUUGAUUUUUAGAAGUCUGUCCUUUGUGUGACCAUUUUUUCUCAUUUUGUUUAUCAAUUGUUCACUUUUAUACUAAGAUAAAACCUAAGACUAAACAAACACUGUUUAUAAAUGCCAUGGGUUGACCUCAACUGUGUAUGAUCAACUGAUAAUAAACAUAUUACAGUAUCAACAGCUGCAUAAGGAUUUAAGAAUACGAAGUCCUCAGCAAUAAAAACUACUGAAUAACAUCCAUAUUUGUAUCUCCACUCAUAGCCUCCUGACAUAUCAGCUAGAUUUUUCUUGUGAGAUAUUUGAUUGCAGAAAUUGCAGUUUGGUUGUUGUGAUAAAUGUCUGGCCCACUGUUUGUCUGCGUGCCACGAUGCCUGGGUGAUCAGCCAGGUUUCAGGGUUACCCGAGUAUUUUUGUAAACAGACUCCAGACCAUAAGACCUCUUUGCAGAAACAGGGAACCAAGGGAUUUUAAGGAAUAUUUUGAGGAAGAAGGGCACAGUAAGUCAGAGGAAUUGUGGUAUCCUUAAAGUUUCUUCAUUUAGAGAUACUCCUAGUUUGUCUUAUAUGGAAUCUGAGCCCUGGUUAUUGGGGACUGAGAAAAUGGGUAAAAAGUUGCCAUAAACCAUUUUAUGUUCUUAAGAUUUCACUAGUGAGAGUUCUGCACACUCUUUGGGUGGCUUAUGUGUAAAGCUGGUUUCCAUGCCAACUAAUGAGCCCUCUUCCUAAAUUGUGGACAGCUGGCUGAAAACUCCAAUUAGAGCCUCAUCUUUGCAAACGUGUGUGCUUGUGUUUGACUUAAAAUGCAGAAAUGUAGUAUUUGUGUGCUUAAAGCUAGCUCAAUAUGUACAAGCUUGGAGGAUUUGUCUAUUUUCUGGAUGUAGCAGCACCUUCAGGGUCUAUGCAAGUUUCAAUGAGGACCACAUCUGCUGUGAAGCCCAACUUGCCUGGGUAAUGUUGUGGGCUGACCACAGGCUUGUGGAGGUGGUUGGGGGGAAAGGGUUUUCUUUGUUAGAAGACUAUGUUGUUGGCUUCACAAGCGCUGUGUUCUCUUAUGCAUUUUGAACAAGUCAAAGCAUACAGCAGUAAAAGCAGCAGGGGGAAAAUAACUGUAUAUUAUUCAUAUCUAAGUAUAUUUAGCUUUAGGCUCUCAAUGAAUCUCAGCAUGAGUUAUUACCCACUGAACCAAGCCUUAGGCUGGUUUAAUUAUAGGAACAUCUUAUUAAAAGCGAAGGAAAUGAGAAUGAAAAUUGAGUCAGUAUUUGUGGAGUACCAUCUGGGUGAGUAUCUGGAGCUCAUUACAGGUUUCUGAUCUUACAAUUAGCUAUCUCAAAUACAACACCCCUAAGUGUCUAGGAAUAAUCUUUAACUCAGAAGAUGUUAAUUUGGGUUGAUUCACUAGAACCAGGGUUCACGAUCUGGUAUACUUACAGCAUUUGAAAUUGAUUUGUGAGUAUAUUUUUGGACUAGAAAAAAUGUGCAUGGCUACAAAGAGCUCAUCAGGAUGAGAAAUUUUAAAAUGAAGAUCCUGUGGGCACAUCUUGGAUCUUUAGUGAAUCAACGGUGUUUUGACAAAGGUGACUGCUUAGCUGGGGCUUUACAAAUCCUUCCCAUCUCGCAUGCUUGUGCUAUGUGCCCCAAGCUGUGUGCUUCUGUCUGAUAAUUGAAAGGGCUAAGGGGAUUGGAGUGGCAUAAAUCUCUUCCCUUAAAUACUUGAUAAAUGAAAGGUGGAUCAAAUGCCAUGGUUUGUGGUGCCAGAAAACCCCAGAAUUUUGGUAUGUUGUUUGGUAUGCUGACCAGAGGAUAGAUUUUUUUCUUGGUGUUAUGUAACUAGCUUGAAAAACUAGAGAUUCUUACUUCUUCUAGAAAGUUUGUUAGUGUUUGAGUGGCUAAUUUCAUUUUUGACAUAUCUCAUUCUCUUUUGGGGAGUAAUAUGACGGUGGUAUAGUAGCGUAGGAGCACUGCUGC